rnacentral:rRNA from 1 species
CCUGAUGCAGCGACGCCGCGUGAGGGAUGACGGCCUCAGGGUUGUAAACCUCUUUCAGUAGGGAAGAAGCGAAAGUGACGGUACCUGCAGAAGAAGCACCGGCUAACUACGUGCCAGCAGCCGCGGUAAUACGUAGGGUGCGAGCGUUAUCCGGAAUUAUUGGGCGUAAAGAGCUCGUAGGCGGUUUGUCGCGUCUGUCGUGAAAGUCCGGGGCUUAACCCCGGAUCUGCGGUGGGUACGGGCAGACUAGAGUGCAGUAGGGGAGACUGGAAUUCCUGGUGUAGCGGUGGAAUGCGCAGAUAUCAGGAGGAACACCGAUGGCGAAGGCAGGUCUCUGGGCUGUAACUGACGCUGAGGAGCGAAAGCAUGGGGAGCGAACAGGAUUAGAUACCCUGGUAGUCCAUGCCGUAAACGUUGGGCACUAGGUGUGGGGACCAUUCCACGGUUUCCGCGCCGCAGCUAACGCAUUAAGUGCCCCGCCUGGGGAGUACGGCCGCAAGGCUAAAACUCAAAGGAAUUGACGGGGGCCCGCACAAGCGGCGGAGCAUGCGGAUUAAUUCGAUGCAACGCGAAGAACCUUACCAAGGCUUGACAUGUUCUCGAUCGCCGUAGAGAUACGGUUUCCCCUUUGGG